UACCAGCACCCCGAGUGGUCGGGACGCUUAUUGGGCCUAAAGCAUCCGUAGCCGGUUCUACAAGUCUUCCGUUAAAUCCACCUGCUUAACAGAUGGGCUGCGGAAGAUACUAUAGAGCUAGGAGGCGGGAGAGGCAAGCGGUACUCGAUGGGUAGGGGUAAAAUCCGUUGAUCCAAUGAAGACCACCAGUGGCGAAGGCGGCUUGCCGGAACGCGCUCGACGGUGAGGGAUGAAAGCUGGGGGAGCAAACCGG
rnacentral:rRNA from 1 species